GAUGAACGCUGGCUACAGGCUUAACACAUGCAAGUCGAGGGGAAACGACGGGGAAGCUUGCUUCCCCGGGCGUCGACCGGCGCACGGGUGAGUAACGCGUAUCCAACCUGCCUCUGACUGAGGGAUAACCCGUCGAAAGUCGGCCUAAUACCUCAUGGUAUCGUCUGCGGGCAUCCAACGACGAUUAAAGAUUUCAUCGGUCAGGGAUGGGGAUGCGUCUGAUUAGCUUGUUGGCGGGGUAACGGCCCACCAAGGCUACGAUCAGUAGGGGUUCUGAGAGGAAGGUCCCCCACAUUGGAACUGAGACACGGUCCAAACUCCUACGGGAGGCAGCAGUGAGGAAUAUUGGUCAAUGGGCGAGAGCCUGAACCAGCCAAGUAGCGUGCAGGAAGACGGCCCUAUGGGUUGUAAACUGCUUUUAUGCGGGGAUAAAGUGAGGGACGUGUCCCUCAUUGCAGGUACCGCAUGAAUAAGGACCGGCUAAUUCCGUGCCAGCAGCCGCGGUAAUACGGAAGGUCCUGGCGUUAUCCGGAUUUAUUGGGUUUAAAGGGAGCGUAGGCCGUGGAUUAAGCGUGUUGUGAAAUGCAGGUGCUCAACGUCUGCACUGCAGCGCGAACUGGUCCACUUGAGUGUGCGCAACGCAGGCGGAAUUCGUCGUGUAGCGGUGAAAUGCUUAGAUAUGACGAGGAACUCCGAUUGCGAAGGCAGCUUGCGGGAGCACAACUGACGCUGAAGCUCGAAAGUGCGGGUAUCGAACAGG
rnacentral:rRNA from 1 species